rnacentral:rRNA from 1 species
GAUCUGGUUCAGGACGAACGCUGGCGGCGUGCCUAACACAUGCAAGUCGAGCGAGGAGAUCCUUCGGGAUGAUCCUAGCGGCGGACGGGUGAGUAACACGUGGGCAACCUGCCUCAUAGAGAGGAAUAGCCUUCCGAAAGGGAGAUUAAUACCUCAUAACAUUGCAGUUUCGCAUGGAACAGCAAUUAAAGGAGCAAUCCACUAUGAGAUGGGCCCGCGGCGCAUUAGCUAGUUGGUGAGGUAACGGCUCACCAAGGCGACGAUGCGUAGCCGACCUGAGAGGGUGAUCGGCCACAUUGGGACUGAGACACGGCCCAGACUCCUACGGGAGGCAGCAGUGGGGAAUAUUGCACAAUGGGGGAAACCCUGAUGCAGCAACGCCGCGUGAGUGAUGACGGCCUUCGGGUUGUAAAGCUCUGUCUUCAGGGACGAUAAUGACGGUACCUGAGGAGGAAGCCACGGCUAACUACGUGCCAGCCGCGGC